AAGCGGUGGAUGAUGUGGAUUAAUUCGAUGCAACGCGAAAACCUUACCUACCUUGACAUGUCCGGAAUCCCGAAGAGAUUUGGGAGUGCUCGCAAGAGAACCGGAACACAGGUGCUGCAUGGCUGUCGUCAGCUCGUGUCGUGAGAUGUUGGGUUAAGUCCCGCAACGAGCGCAACCCUUGUCAUUAGUUGCCAUCAUUUGGUUGGGCACUCUAAUGAGACUGCCGGUGACAAACCGGAGGAAGGUGGGAUGACGUCAAGUCCUCAUGGCCCUUAUGGGUAGGGCUACACACGUGCUACAAUGGGCGAUACAGAGUGACGCGAAGCCGCGAGGUGGAGCAAAUCGCAGAAAAUCGCUCUCAGUUCGGAUUGGAGUCUGAAACCCGAUUCCAUGAAGGUGGAAUCGCUAGUAAUCGCGCAUCAGCAUGGCGCGGUGAAUACGUUCCCGGGUCUU
rnacentral:rRNA from 1 species